CCUACGGGUGGCAGCAGUGGGGAAUAUUGCGCAAUGGGCGAAAGCCUGACGCAGCGACGCCGCGUGAGGGAUGAAGGUCUUCGGAUCGUAAACCUCUGUCAGCAGGGAAGAACGGUCACUGUGCUAAUCAGCAGUGAAUUGACGGUACCUGCAAAGGAAGCACCGGAUAACUCCGUGCCAGCAGCCGCGGUAAUACGUAGGGUGCGUGCGUUAAUCGGAAUUACUGGGCGUAAAGGGCUCGUAGGCGGUAUGUCAAGUCAGGGGGGAAAUCCCGGCGCUAAACGUGGGAACUGCCUUUGAAACGGGUAGACUGGAGUGUGGGAGAGGUAAGUGGAAUUACAGGUGUAGGAGUGAAAUGCGUAGAUAUC
rnacentral:rRNA from 1 species